CCUGGCGGAGGAGACCAACAGGGAUUGCCUCAGUAACGGCGAGUGAAGCGGCAACAGCUCAAAUUUGAAAUCUGGCCCUCGGGUCCGAGUUGUAAUUUGUAGAGGAUGCUUUUGGCGCGGUGCCUUCCGAGUUCCCUGGAACGGGACGCCUUAGAGGGUGAGAGCCCCGUACGGUUGGACACCAAGCCUCUGUAAAGCUCCUUCGACGAGUCGAGUAGUUUGGGAAUGCUGCUCUAAAUGGGAGGUAAAUUUCUUCUAAAGCUAAAUAUUGGCCAGAGACCGAUAGCGCACAAGUAGAGUGAUCGAAAGAUGAAAAGCACUUUGAAAAGAGGGUUAAAUAGCACGUGAAAUUGUUGAAAGGGAAGCGUUUGCGACCAGACCUUUUCCUGGCGGAUCAUCCGGUGUUCUCACCGGUGCACUUCGCCAGGUCGAGGCCAGCAUCGGUUUCCGCGGGGGGAUAAAAGCUCUGGGAACGUAGCUCCUCCGGGAGUGUUAUAGCCCUCUGCACAAUACCCCCGCGGGGACCGAGGACCGCGCUCUAAGCAAGGAUGCUGGCGUAAUGGUUGUCAACGACCCGUCUUGAAACACGGACCAAGGAGUCGAACAUUUGUGCGAGUGUUUGGGUGUCAAACCCUCACGCGUAAUGAAGGUGAACGUAGGUGAGAGCCCUUACGGGUGCAUCAUCGACCGAUCCUGAUGUCUUCGGAUGGAUUUGAGUAAGAGCAUAACUGUUCGGACCCGAAAGAUGGUGAACUAUGCGUGGAUAGGGUGAAGCCAGAGGAAACUCUGGUGGAGGCUCGCAGCGGUUCUGACGUGCAAAUCGAUCGUCAAAUCUGCGCAUGGGGGCGAAAGACUUAUCGAACCAUCUAGUAGCUGGUUACCGCCGAAGUUUCCCUCAGAUAGCAGUGUUGUUCUUCAGUUUUAUGAGGUAAAGCGAAUGAUUAGGGACUCGGGGGCGCUUUUUUGCCUUCAUCCAUUCUCAAACUUUAAAUAUGUAAGAAGCCCUUGUUACUUAAUUGAACGUGGGC
rnacentral:rRNA from 1 species